AUUGAACGCUGGCGGCAUGCCUUACACAUGCAAGUCGAACGGCAGCAUGGAGAGCUUGCUCUCUGAUGGCGAGUGGCGAACGGGUGAGUAAUGCAUCGGAACGUACCGUGUAAUGGGGGAUAACGUAGCGAAAGUUACGCUAAUACCGCAUACGACCUGAGGGUGAAAGCAGGGGAUCGCAAGACCUUGCGUUAUACGAGCGGCCGAUGUCAGAUUAGCUAGUUGGUGAGGUAAAGGCGCACCAAGGCGACGAUCUGUAGCGGGUCUGAGAGGAGGCACCGCCACACUGGCACUGAGACACGGCCCAGACUCCUACGGGAGGCAGCAGUGGGGAAUUUUGGACAAUGGGGGCAACCCUGAUCCAGCCAUGCCGCGUGAGUGAAGAAGGCCUUCGGGUUGUAAAGCUCUUUCGGCCGGGAAGAAAUCGCACAGGCUAAUACUCUGUGUGGAUGACGGUACCGGCAUAAGAAGCACCGGCUAACUACGUGCCAGCAGCCGCAGUAA
rnacentral:rRNA from 1 species